rnacentral:lncRNA from 1 species
AGAGUCUCAGACUCACAGUUACAGUCAUGAUCCUCAACAAAAAAUGUUACAUACAAAAUUUAUGUUAAUUUAGUUCUCUUUAAUAUUCAUCCAUUCCUAAUGUUGGAUACUGGAAUUUACUUAAACGUUAAAAGGAUGCUUGAACAGAUAUUUUCACAGUGCAAUACUGCAAGUUUUCUUAUUGUUCUUAUUCUGAAAAACAAAGCUUACAACUUAAAUAGAAAAAGAUAACCACUAGCACAACAAGUGCACAUUUCCACGAUGACCACUACAACAAGUGCAGAAUUCUUUUUAUUUCUUAUUCUAUGUGGAAUGACUUUUGCAGGUUUGUGGAAUGCUUUGUGGAACCACUUUAUUUUAAAAUAAGUCUUAACACCCUCCCUUAAACUAAUUUCUACAGAAAGUAGUUUAGGGUCUCUGCACCAUCACAUAAUCACCUUCCUGAUCAAUGUCACGAACUGAACAGAUUCCCAGCAUGUUUCUCAGCUUCUCGAAUGCAGGCUGCUUUAAAGGCUUAGUUAAGAUAUCUGCAACCUGCUCCCCGCUCUUGCAAUAUUCCAGUUCAAUUUUUCCAUCUCUGCAUAGAUCACGCAGAAAAUGAAAACGAACAUCAAUGUGUUUACUUCUUCCAUGCAUGACUGGAUUCCUUGAUAACUUGAUAGUUGAUAUGUUGUCACAGUAGAUGGUCGUUGGUCCCUUUUGAACAUUAUCAAGCACUUCAAACAUUUUUCUAAGCCACAUAGCUUGACAGGAGCUCGCAGCUGCUGCUACAAACUCAGCUUCGGUUGAGGAAAGUGUCACAAUCUGUUGCUUUUUUGAGGACCACGAUACUGCACCAGAGUUGAGCAGAAACGUGUGCCCAGAAGUGCUCUUACGAUCAUCUAUAUCACCUGCAUAAUCACUAUCUGUGUACCCAACAAAACCAGAACCAUUCUUCCUUUUAUAAAACACACCAUAAUCAGUUGUUCCCUUUACAUACCUCAGAAUUCUCUUUGCUGCAUUUAGAUGCAUUUCAGUUGGUUUUUCCAUAUAUCGGCUCACUAGACUUACUGCAUACAUGAUGUCAGGCCUUGUGGAGGUUAAGUACAUGAGACUGCCAAUGAUUUGUUUAUAGAAAGUACUAUCAACCUCCUUCCCACCUUUGUCUUUGCAUAGCUUUAAGCCGAGUUCAACUGGAGUUCCAAAUGGCUUGCAAUCAUCCAUCUGAAACCUUUUAAGAAUGUCCUGCGCAUAUUUUUUCUGGUAGAUGAAAUUACCAGCAGUAGUUUGAAUGACUUCCAAUCCAAGAAAAUAAUGCAUUAAUCCCAGAUCAGUCAUUUCAAACUCUGUCAUCAUAGACUUCUUAAAUUCAUCAAACAUUUUAGCAUCAUUUCCAGUGAAUAUCAAGUCAUCAACAUACAAGCAUACCAUGAGUAUUUUACCUUCUUCCUUAGUCUUGACAUAAAGAGUGUGCUCAAAGGGACAUUUGUGAAAUCCAAGCUUUGCAAAGUGAGCAUCUAUACGACUGUACCAAGCUCGAGGUGCUUGUUUCAGACCAUAGAGUGCUUUCUUUAGUUUGAACACCUUUUCUUCUUCUCCUUUUCUCUCAUAACCAGGUGGUUGAUCAAUGUACACCUCUUCUUGUAUGUUGCCAUGCAAGAAUGCUGACUUCACGUCUAACUGAAAAAUUAACCAGGAAUUUUGGGCUGCAAGAGAGAUCACCAACCUGAUCGUGUCAUGCCUUGCAACUGGGGCAAACACUUCUUUGUAAUCGACACCAUAUUUUUGCUUGUACCCUUUUGCUACCAAACGAGCCUUGUGCUUGUCCACUUCACCUUUUUCAUUCAACUUUGUUCUAAACACCCACUUUACACCAAUGGUUUUCUUUCCAUUUGGAAGAUCAGUUAAUUCCCAGGUUUGAUUCUUCUCAAUGGACUUGAUUUCAUUGUCCAUUGCUUCCCUCCAUUUUUCUUCUUUAACAGCCUCAUUAUACAUGAUUGGAUCACUGUCUACAAAUAAUGCAAAGUGAGCAUUUUCAUCAUCAGAACUUGAAUAACUUACAUCGUAAUCCAUCAUCCAUGCUGGUCUCUUCCUUAUGUUCUCAUUUCUCAAAUUGUAUCUUCCUUCUUCAAAUUGUUGAGAUGAUUGAACUUCAGGUUGAGGUGGCUGCUGGGAUUGAGUUUCAGGAGCUGCCAUAUCUUCUUUGUCUGAAUCAUCGACUGGAAUUUGUAGUUGAACCAAUCUGUUCUCAGACCAAUUCCAUAUGGCGUCUUCAUCAAAUAUUACAUUCCUACUCACCACUAUCUUCUUUGUUACUGGAUUGUACAGUUUAUAAGCUUUUGAGAAUUCACUUACACCAAGGAAAAUACACUUUUCACUUUUGUCAUCCAGCUUCUUUCUUUUCUCAUCUGGAAUGUGUGCAUAUGCUAUGCACCCAAACACUUUAAAGUGAUCCACUGAGGGUUUCCGUCCACUCCAAGCUUCUUGAGGAGUCAUAUUCUUAACAGAAAAUGUGGGACUUCUGUUUAAGAUAUGGACUGACCAUAGCACAGCUUCAGGCCAAAACUUUUUGGGAAUGCUUCCUUUGACUAGCAGACUUCGAACCAUGUUGAGAAUGGUCCGAUUCUUCCUUUCACUUACACCAUUUUGUUGUGGUGUAUAGGCAGUGGUCAGCUGUCUCUUGAUGCCUUUUUCAUUGCAAAAUGCAUCAAACUCCUUUGAACAGUACUCUCCCCCACGAUCAGUUCUUAGUAUUUUAAUCUUCUUGUCUGACUCAUUUUCAACUAAAGCUUUGAAGCUUUUGAAUGCUUCAAAUGCUUCUGAUUUUUUCCUGCAAGAAAAUAUACCCAUGUCUUUCUACUAAAAUCAUCAAUAAAUGAGAUGAAAUAUUUCUUGUUACCAUUGGAGACGGGAUUGAUUGGUCCACAUAGAUCAGAGUGAACCAUCUCCAGGACUGAUUUAGCCCUUGCUGCCUUGCCACUUGGAAAAGAGUCUCUUUGAUGCUUCCCAGUGAUGCAUUCUUCACACACCUUUGAUGGAGGAGUUAUCUCAGGUAAGCCAGUGACCAUCCCUUUCUGGUGAAGUGUUCUUAAGCCAUUAAAAUUCAAAUGGCCAUAUCUGUAGUGCCAUCUCCAUGGGUCAUUUUCUUUGGCAAGCAGGCAAGCUUGCACAUUCUUGAUCUUUAAAGGAAACAAUCUGUUGGAGGACAUUUUUAUAACAGCAAUUGAGCCUCUUUUUGGAUCGUACACUUCACACUCUCCUUCAUAGAUUGUAAUCCUGUAACCUUUAUCUUGUAAUUGACCAGCACUCAGCAAAUUUAUCUUCAAAUCAGGAAUAUAAAAAACAUUUGAAAUAGUUUCAAUAAAAUCAUUUUUAGUUCUGAUUUGAAUAUCUCCCUUACCCAUCACUUUCACUGUUGAUUUGUCACCAAAACUUACCACCGUGUGAAAGCUUUCAUCCAAAUUAAUAAAGGAAGACUUACAUCCACUCAUGUGAUUGCUGCAACCCGUGUCCACAUACCAUGUCUCCUUGUCAGUUUCUGUAAGUGUAUGAAAAGUCAUCAACAGUGUCUCUUCCUCCUUUUUCUCCACAAAAUUUGACUUUUCUCCUUUUUCUUUUGGCAAUUUCGUGUAGCACUCAUUCUUGUAGUGCCCAAAAUUUCCACACCUAUAGCACUCCACUUUUGACUUAUCAAAAUGGUAGGCUCCUUUUUCUUCAAAGUCAUUAUUUCUUUUGAAAACAUGAGGUGACUUGCUGUCAUCUCUAUGUCCAAACCGUCCACCACCACGAUGGCCUCGAACACUUCUUCCUCUACUUUGUCCACCUCUUCCUCGACUUCUUCCUCCUCGAAAACUUGAGGGCUCAGAAGAUGUGGAAGCUUUCAGUGCUGUUUGUUCUUCACUGGCAGUGGUGCGGUUAAGUCUUUGUUCAUGCACUAACAAAGAGCUUUGCAGUUCAUCAACUCGUAAUUCGGAAACAUUCUUUGCCUCCUCAAUUGAGCAGACAAUGUAGUCAAAUUUUGGAGUCAAUGAUCUCAUAAUUUUCUCCACAACUUUGACUUCUUCCAUGGUGCAACCAUUGGAUCUCAUCUUGCUUGCUAUUCCCAGGGUUCUAGCAAAGAAAUUAGUAACGGACUCACUUGAUUUCAUUUGUAGAGUUUCAAAAUCCCUUGUUAGAGUUUGAAGCACUGCACGCUUCACCCUCUCUGACCCUUCAUAUUUCUUUUUCAUAGAAUCCCAUAUUUGUUUGGAGGUCUCCUUCUCGAGUAUAGUCUCCAAGAUAGAUCGAUCAAGUGCCUGGAAAAGGUAGUUUUUCACCUUCAAGUCCUUCAGCUUCUGUUCAGCAACCCUCCUUUGUUGUUGUUCAUUCAACACUACUCCCUCUGCUGGGGCGUCAAUCCCUGAUUCCACAAGAUUCCAGUACUCCUUUGACCUGAGGAAAUUCUCCAUCAGCAUGCUCCAAUGGUCAUAGUGACCAUCAAACCGUGGAAUAGCUGGUUGAACAAAACUCUCAGUGGCUUUGUCAGUUGCCAUCGUUUCUUGCUGCUGCAAGUCACAAUCUCUUCUCCUUUUUUUUUAAAAGCCCAGAAGGGCUCUGAUACCAGAUGUUGGAUACUGGAAUUUACUUAAACGUUAAAAGGAUGCUUGAACAGAUAUUUUCACAGUGCAAUACUGCAAGUUUUCUUAUUGUUCUUAUUCUGAAAAACAAAGCUUACAACUUAAAUAGAAAAAGAUAACCACUAGCACAACAAGUGCACAUUUCCACGAUGACCACUACAACAAGUGCAGAAUUCUUUUUAUUUCUUAUUCUAUGUGGAAUGACUUUUGCAGGUUUGUGGAAUGCUUUGUGGAACCACUUUAUUUUAAAAUAAGUCUUAACACCUAAUCCUUUCUAAAAGCAGUUUAAUUUACAACAAACCUAAUAAUAUUACCUUUGGACUUGCUAGUAGAAUCUUGUGCAGCUGUGGUAUCAUGGAUGGAACCAAAAAAUAUGACUUAGAAAACAAUAAAAUUUGACAGAACUUGGUGUAUGGGCUUUAGAUGCUUCACAAGUGCAUAAUAAACAAUAUAAACCACAGAAAAUCAAACAGUUGUUUACAAAAAGUAAAAAAUAAAA